rnacentral:lncRNA from 10 species
AUUAUUUCCCAAACAAGUCAGUAGAAAAUUGAGGUUUCUGAGCAAUUUGCAGAUUAAUAACCACUGGAGAUGUGGGUCCAUAUAACCUCACCGAGCGAAAAAGUGAGACCCUCCCCUCUCUCCUUCUCUUGAAUAAGGACCUACAGUAGAUAUCUUGAGAAGCAAAAAAAGAGAAAAGCAGAAACAUCUACACACCGGGGUAAUAAUGGAGCGUCCGUGAGCAGGCACGUGAAAACACACAGAGAGCGCCAGCAGCGUAAGUGCUCAACAACUGAUAAGCACACUACAAAUAACAAGAAGAGGGUGCCAGGCAUUGAAAGAAUACGAUGUUCAAAGUGAUUACUCCACUAAACCAGAAAAGAAGGCUGAUCUUAUAGGAGGCUUUGGAGUAUGAAUAGCACCUCGAGAUUGUUCCACCAUGUACCCUCAUUGCUGGAUCAUUGGCUGCAGGCUGCCCCGAGGGAAUGGAGUAACCACCUACACGUUUCCUUGCUCCCUGCAGCUGAAGGCAAUUCUGUUAGAAGCCAACUGUCACAGCAGCUGAUGCGAUUAUUAUUUGGGUUGGGGAAUGGUGUGUGGUCAGGGGAUGAGGAUUUGCUUUGUGCACAUUCUACUGGUCACCGUCUAAUACCAACUCAUGCUUUAGACAUCAGCUCCAUGACAGUAGGGAUCAGAAAUGCAGAACUAGGGAAUUAAGGCAAAUGUGCGUCAUCUCCCCCUUCUCUUAGAAUCUGCCACCUCCUGUCUGUGGCAGGUGAGAUGGUCACAUUCUGUUGGUGCAUACUUCAUUAGACUGCCUUGCCCCCAGAAGCUCCACCCAUUUUUCUCUUUCUCCUGGGCCAGGAAAGUCCCUGGAAGAACUCUCCCUCUAAAUUGUGGGGAGAGCCAACCCGGCAGGGCCUCUCUCUUUGGGGGUCUUUUGGGGCAUUGGCAGGAUGUGGCUAGGGCAGCAGCUGAGACUCUCUCAGAAUUCGAGAAAACAGAAACUACUCCCAGG